AGAGUUUGAUCCUGGCUGAGAUUGAACGCUGGCGGCAGGCCUAACACAUGCAAGUCGAGCGGUAACAGAGAGUAGCUUGCUACUCUGGUGACGAGCGGCGGACGGGUGAGUAAUGCUUGGGAAUAUGCCUUAUGGUGGGGGACAACAGUUGGAAACGACUGCUAAUACCGCAUGAUGUCUACGGACCAAAGUGGGGGACCUUCGGGCCUCACGCCAUAAGAUUAGCCCAAGUGGGAUUAGCUAGUUGGUGAGGUAAUGGCUCACCAAGGCGACGAUCCCUAGCUGGUUUGAGAGGAUGAUCAGCCACACUGGGACUGAGACACGGCCCAGACUCCUACGGGAGGCAGCAGUGGGGAAUAUUGCACAAUGGGCGCAAGCCUGAUGCAGCCAUGCCGCGUGUGUGAAGAAGGCCUUCGGGUUGUAAAGCACUUUCAGUAAGGAGGAAAGGUUAAGUGUUAAUAGCACUUAGCUGUGACGUUACUUACAGAAGAAGCACCGGCUAACUCCGUGCCAGCAGCCGCNGGUAAU
rnacentral:rRNA from 1 species